rnacentral:lncRNA from 1 species
CUGAUAUCCUCUUCAUAGGAAAAUAAGUGCUAAUUCAGUAAUUUAGCGUCAGGUUUUUCAGUUGAGAUUAUUAGGUAAUUUAGCUACUCGUGUUCUUGCGGCUCACAGCCAACAAGAGAAGGAAAAAUUUUAAAGAGCUUAAUUGGGUUUGUCCUAUACUUUUAUAAUUUAAACACUUUUGUAACAGUGUGGUGCUUGAAAGAGCUUAUGAUAUAAAGUAUAAACGAAUAUGUAGAGCUUAUGUGAAAUUUUUCUUUGAACAACUUAUGCAUAAGCACCUGUUUAAGUUGUCUUAAGAUGCUCUCUCAAUAUGAAAUGUGGAAUGUUGCUGAGUGAUAAGUUGAUUGCUGUUGGUUGGAAAUCUGCUCUGCAGAAAACUGUGCCUUCUGAUUUGUAAUAACAAUGCCCGCAAAAUUUAAUUGUAGAUAGUUUCAUUUCAGAACGAA